AACCCAUUAUGCGGACAAUCUCGCAUCAACCUUUUGAAACUCGCCCAAGCAUCGCUGAGCGAUUCGUCAUAGUCUUGUUCAAAAAUUGUAAUCAGUUUCCUUCUUCU